GUAGCCUUGUGCUUUUCCACAUAUUCACAAAGCAAUGUUAAAGCUACAACACCUACCAAAAAAGGGGGAAAACAAAUACAAAUAUUGUACAGUGGUAUGUGCAUGAAUUGCCUUCCUUUGUAGACUCCACCUCCCAUUGAUAAACUAAGUAGCUUCCUAAAAUCAAAGGGACCUCUCUAUUUUGGUUGCCCUCAGGGGAGACAAAAAGGAAUCCUGGGUGCUUCCUGCCCCUUCACACCAGUCACGGUUGGUGUUUGGGUCUGGAGGGCAUUUGCAUCCCCUCCACCAUCAGAGUCAAUGGGCUUCCUUGGAGAUCUCCAGCACUGGCAGCUGGCAAGGCAGGAUGCCGACCUGAAAACCUGCAGGAGCCCUGUCUGUCUAUGGGUCAGGAUCUGGUGGGACAAAAGGACUGUCUGGCUCUUAACAUCCGUGAUUUUUACCUUGAAUUGUAGCAGGAGUAUUUUUGAGAGCUGUUAACCCUGUUGGUUCAUAUGGCAAGGGGCAGGUUUCUCACUUAGCUACCCGACUUCUUGCUUUGACCAGCUCACCUAACAGCUGGCUUUGCACUCUGGUAUUAAAAGAAAGUGGCCCAAAUAAGGAACUGUCUCCUGAGUCACUGCCAAAUGGCGCUUAGGCCUCUGCAUACAGCAUGUGCAUCUGCCAUACCUUCUUUGUGCCAGUCUUGUCACACCCCAGCCUCACAGUUCUUUAAGGGCUAUUUGGAUAAUAAACAUGCUGAGCCCAGACUCUGCACUGACAGUGUAAGCUGAUACACCACACCGGGAAGUGCUACCGCAGGGAAAGAGUCACAUGUUCCUGUUCCAUCUUCUUCCGUCUCUGCCACCUCCUGCAGAGACAUUCCCUGGGAAGCAGUGCUGCCCAAAGCUGUUGUACGUGUCUACUUCAGAGUGUGUGAGACAAAGUCUUUAGGUUACCCAAGCAGGAAAUUUGCUUUGGCUCAAUAGCUCUGUUACAGGAAUAGGAAAGUGAAAGUUAUUAAGGGGGAAAGUGUUAUACAUCUGAGUUGUGGAGAAAGCAGAUUCAUGCCAGAAGACUUAAGGUAAACAACUUACCUGAUGAGAAAGUGGAGGACAAAUUCAAAUAUUGAAAUUGCAUAGGAGAGGAAUCAUCCUCAUGUUCACAGUGUACAGUUACCAGACUGUUCAAGAAACAAGGAAAUUGAAGUGAAAGCAAAAGUUGCAAGUGUCAAACCCAAUAUUACUGCUUUGGAUCAAUUGCAGAGCUUAGUGGGUUUAACUGUUAGAUAAAGAAUCUAAUAUAGACUGACCUGUAUAUUGAGGAUACACUUCUUGACACUAUUUGGUAGAUACAUGCUAGAUCCCAAACACUUGGUAGCGUUAGGCGCUUGUAUUAGCCUGGAUAUAUGUAAUCUAAGUAUCCACGGUGGCUGUGCUAGGUCAGAACAAGGAUCCUGCAGCCCUGAGUUUUUUCUCCACAGUGGUUAUAGGCCAGGAAUAGCAAGCACUUCCCAUGAAUACUGACCUGGGUGCUAACUACAUUUAGUUUGGGGGAUUUCCUGAGGUACAUACAUUUUCUCUAUAUUUACAAAGCCAAAUAAUAUAUCUCUGUUCUGAAUUUUGUUUAGCAUUCUCUUGAAUUCAUGUCAACUUCAAGCAGCCAAUAUAUUUUGGCAAAGUUCAGCAGGUGAGUUUUUCCUUGCAUGAAGCACUGGAGUGGGGAGGAGGCCCUGGGAGGGUGAAGCACCUGGUUCCCAGUAGCUUUGUUUGGUUCUUCCCAGUCAACAGUAAUGAUCAGUCCCAUCUGUUCUUUUACACACUGCUCAGAGUUUUGUACAUGUGCAUCACCUCCACUCCUAAAUAAUCUCCUUCCCAGGCCAAGGAGUCCUGUCCUUCUCAGUUGUUCUUCUAAGAGAAGUCAUUGCCUUUGGUCACCCUUGUUGUUCUUCUCUAAACACCUCCAGUCUCACUAUCCCAUUACUGAGAAGAGGGGACCAGAGAUCUCUUCAGAAAACUCAGUAAAGGUGACAGAAGACCCUACAGUUUUUCCAGUAAUGCAAUGAAACCUGCAAGUUUCAUCCUGCUGGCAAUAAAAUCAGCUAUAUGUCAAACACCUGGGGUUUUUUUGAGCAUUUUAUGUAUUUAUAUUUUCUUUACUAUAAGUUUUAAUAAGAUGGCUGAGAUUUUUAGUACAAAGUAUGUAAAAGUUUUGUUGAGAUUAGUGCAAGUUUCAGUUAAAGUAAAAAGAGAACUAAUGGCCUUAUUUAAUUUUCAUUAAUACUAAAAUUGAAGACUUCUGCUCAUGUAAAUGCAUUAUUGUGAAAAGCACUAAAAAAGUAUUGACCUUAUUGUCCAUUUCAAGAUAACCUUCCUUUCUUCUCAAUCAGAAUUAAGAGAUUUCUCUGUAAAUUCAGAUUGCAUUUCUGGGUCAGUUUAUUUUCCCUAUUCAUUUAAAGAGAGAAUGUCAUAACUGGCAGCACUGACCUCUAAACACCAGCAAAUAAAUGCCAAUUUGUCUUUUUUUGCCUCA